CCCGACUGGUCCCCAUGCCGGUGGCACGUAAAAAGCACCCACUACACUCUCGGAUGGUUGGCAUUAGGAAGGGCAUCCAGCUGUAGAAACUCUGCCAGACCAGAUUAGAACCUGGUGUAGCCACUGGCUCUCAAGACCCCAGUCAAACCGUCCAACCCAUGCCAGCAUGGAAAACGGAUAUUAAUCGAUGAUGAUGAUUAUGAAAU